AUUGAACGCUGGCGGCAGGCUUAACACAUGCAAGUCGAGCGAGCGGCGGACGGGUGAGUAAUGUCUGGGAAACUGCCUGAUGGAGGGGGAUAACUACUGGAAACGGUAGCUAAUACCGCAUACCAUCAGAUGUGCCCAGAUGGGAUUAGCUAGUAGGGGGGGUAAUGGCUCACCUAGGCGACGAUCCCUAGCUGGUCUGAGAGGAUGACCAGCAACACUGGAACGGAGACAGGGUCCAGACUCCUACGGGAGGCAGCAGUGGGGAAUAUUGCACAAUGGGCGCAAUCCGGAGGCAGAAAUGCCGCGGUUGGGAAGAAGGCCUUCGGGUGGUAAAGCACUUUCAGCGAGGAGGCGUUACUCGCAGAGGAAGCAACGGCUAACUCCGUGCCAGCAGCCGCGGUAAUUC
rnacentral:rRNA from 1 species